AUGAAUUAUGCUUAUGGAGAUGAACUUGCUAUAGUUCCUUAUGUUAAACAUGAAAUUGUUGCUAUUUCACCCACGCAUGAUAGUCCUAUUAUAUUUUUAAAUUCUCCAAACUACACUAUAUCAGAGAAAUUUGUGCUUAUUAAGGAUUAUAUUGAUGGGUUGCCUUUUACCAUUGCACAUGAUGAUUUUGAUAGAUAUAAUAUGCAUGUGCUUGCUGCUCCUACUUGCAAUUAUUAUGAGAGAGGAACUAUAUCUCCACCUCUAUAUGUUUCCAAUAUGAUAAAAUUGCAAGAAGCUUCUUAUUCUAUGCAUUGGCCUUUACUUGGUGUGCAUGAAUUGUUCUUUUAUGACCCACCGAUGCAUAGGAAGAGAGUUAGACUUCGUCAUUGCUUGAUAUAUGUUACUUUGUGCUCACUACUAAAUUACAAAUCAUUGUUAAUGAAAAUUGGCUUUGAUAUACCUUGGGAUCCGGGUGGAUCCAUUACUUGA
rnacentral:rRNA from 1 species